rnacentral:rRNA from 1 species
UACGAAGGGGGCUAGCGUUGCUCGGAAUCACUGGGCGUAAAGGGCGCGUAGGCGGCCACCGCAAGUCGAUUGUGAAAUCUCCGGGCUUAACCCGGAAAGGUCAACCGAUACUGCGGGGCUAGAGUGCAGAAGGGGCAACUGGAAUUCUCGGUGUAGCGGUGAAAUGCGUAGAUAUCGAGAGGAACACCUGCGGCGAAGGCGGGUUGCUGGGCUGACACUGACGCUGAAGUGCGAAAGCUAGGGGAGCGAACGGG